AGAGAGAGAGAGAGAGAGAGAGAGAGAGAGAGAUAACAAGUUUAUGUGUAUGAAUGUCUAUCUGUUCGUCUGUCUGUCUAUAUCUGCCAGUGUGACUGUAUUCAUCUUCCAACUUUAUCUUUCCAUCAGUCACUUCAUCCAACUGUCCACACAAGUAUCUAUAAAACUGUCUGCCCAUCUAUGUCUGUAUUUCUGUCUAUAGCCAUAUCUAUCUAUCUAUCUAUCUAUCUUUCUGUUUAUCUGUAUAGAGCUAUGUAUUUUAUAGAUUUAUCCAUCUAGUCUCUCUCUCUCUCUCUCUCUCUCUCUCUCUCUCUCUCUCUCUCUCUCUCUCUCUCUUCUUCUCUUCCACAGGGACGGAUUGCACCUGUCUCCCAUCGGGGCAGCCAGAUUCGGAAGGCUCCUCAACGAAGCAGUACGUGUCAUCCGAGCAAAAAACGAGUCACAGCCACGUCCCUCCACCCCGCCCGUGUAAAUAGACGCCGUGCAUCGCAACAAACCCGUAACCGUGAUCCCGCAAGUACCACCACCUCUAUUACCAAGCUUCUAGAUAACUUAAAAAUCCUUAGUUUCAAUGCGCGUAGCCUAAGAAACAAAUUUGAUGAACUGAGCUGUCUUGCUCUAACAGAAAAUUUUGACAUAAUUGCUAUAACCGAAACAUUUAUCGACACCACAAAUAUUGAUUUAAGUUCCGAAUACAACAUAGAUGGCUACAGACUCUUCAACAAAGAUCGUAUAAACCGUAGAGGCGGUGGCGUCGCCCUUUAUGUCAAAAGCUAUUUGCAACCCACUGACAAAACACCAGGAAACAGUAACAUUGAACAUUUGUGCGUGCGAGUAAACAUUGCAAAACAUUUUAAAUGGGUUGAAUACUAUAAUAAAGUCAAUAGUAGUGAUAACAUUUUACAAAGUUUUUAUCCUGCGACAAAAUACUAGUCUAAGAAGAAUAUAGCAUGUGGGUAGGCGGUGGCGUAGGUGGUAGCGUACUGGACCCACAUUCACCGCGUGAUGGACGACGCGGGUUCGAAUCCCCACGCUACCACUCAGAUUUUUCAGUCACCGCCGAGUGGCUUAAAACUACCCACAUGCUGUCCUGAAGACCACCCAUCAACCCGGACUCUAGAGGAAGCCGUCCAAGCGAAUCAAGAACGAGUUCCGGGGAGCAGCAUGAGCCAAUGCAAGAUGGCGCCACUAUAAACACUCGCCUGCGCCAGAACGGGCUGGGCCGACCGUCAGGCCCCACCUGGAAGAAGCCUUGGGCCGACCAUCAGGCCCCACCGGGAAGAUGCCUACCGGCGCAAUAGGCAAUCAACGUAAAAAAAAAAAAAAAAAAAAAAAAAAACAGUGUGAAUGUGAUCAUAAAAAUAAAUCAAUCAAAUAAUCUCAUCAGUAUAAAACAAAGUAUAAAAUUUUUUUACAAAGCAUGUAACGAGUACUUACACGAGGCUUGCAACGCUUCUUGAGAGGGGCAGUUGGUACCUCAUCAUCAAUUUGCUGCCUUUUUUGGGGUGCUCCAAACUUUGCCUUGAGGGCAACAAACUCUUUCAUAGGCAUCCUAAGGCACUUCAUUUUGGUUCUCAAUGACAUUCUCCAACAUUUCUGAAAAUCAUAACUAUGAAAAUUAAAUUUAUGACUAUAAAAUGUCGGUAUCAUACUAGUGAUUAAACAUGUAGAUUCUAUUUUGUUUCAUCAUUUCAAUUCCAAUAAUGUUAGUGUCUUAAGUGAUGAUUGGCACUACCUUACUACUCAAAAUAAAUUCACUUACAGGAUCUCCAAGGUAGUUUAAGGUUUAAGGUUGGAGUCGUAAUCACCAGGAGGUACCCUUUCGACGUGAGCAAGUCCUCUGUAUCGUUGAACUAUGGGUACUGCCACGACCUCACUCACCACACACCCCAUAUCCCUUCCUCAAGAGAGGACAGGUACCACUCCUAGUCAACGGAAAGACUCCGGACUGAGCAAGCUCGAACCGUGAAGCCUGGCAGCGCAGCGCUCUAACCAGUUGCGCCAUCCAUGUGGGGGACCCCCUAGAGAGGAGUUCUCCCAAGUUGAGGAGGCCCUGCUCGACCUUCUUUCUCCCACAGGGUAUGCAAAUCUGCCCAUUUCUGACAGCGAGGGUGGUUCUUUGAAUGUAGCUGGUGCUACACAGUGCCUUCCCUCCCAGGCUCUGGGUCCUGCUCAAGAAGGUACCCAUCCAUCCACAAGUGGUACACCGCAGGGAGAGUUUACUGUCAUGGUGAUUGAAGGCGAGGAGCGGAGAAUCCCAAUAAUAUCUGAUAGCAGCCUUGAGUCAAGGUUUCAUGGAGGAGAUUAAGGUGGCACCUCAGCUUCUUAAUGUAAAUGAAGUACGGGACCUUAUUUCCGACCUUGUGGGGAGUCAAAGAGAGGCUGUGUCUUUACAGCCGGAGAAUGUGGCACUGCAGCGGGAGUGUGCUGCAAUGCAGCGGGAGACUGUGGCUGCCUUGCAGAAAUUAGCUGAAACACCAGCAGCCAUCCUAAAACUUGUUCAGGCUAUGGGAGGCCGAAUUAAAUAGGAAGCCAUAGGUUUUCCCCUCAUGGUUUAAAUCAUAUAGGAUUAAUUAUUUUUAUUUCCUGGAUUUUUUUAAUCUCCUUUAAUC